AUACACACACACACACACACACACACACACACACACCCCAUACACACAUACAUAUAUAUGUAUAUAUAGUAUAUAUUUAAUAUAUCACACAGUAAAAGAAUGUUCUCUAGUCCCCUGAAGUCUCUUUUGAAACCACUAACUGACUAUAAACCUCCUUAACAGUUUUCAGGAAGUGAUGCCACGCCAUCCAUUUAUCUUUGUUACAGAUUUACAGUAACUGGGUUUCUAACAUGUCUUUUAGAAAUACCGUUUUACGUCUUACUUUUGCCUUUAUUUCAUAAGUAAUUAAAAAAAAAUCACUGGACUGCUUAAUUUUCUCUGAGGACAAGAUGGAUUCAUUCAUCUUAAGCCAGGGAUUUGCAUCGUGAAUUUCAUUAAGUUAUUUGGCAACCUGUAAACUAUCAGUAGUUCAAGUCAUAUGUGGCACGAGUGUGUCACGCCGUGUUUAAAUCUGUGGUUUUUAAUGAAAAUCUCAUGUUGGAAUAUUUGGAGAGUUAGGGAGAAACGGAAGACGAAUACAAGAGUUUAAGUUCUAGAAAAUAGACAAUGGAUGCUCACGGAAGACAGCCAGGUAGUCUAUAGUGGAGAUGACUGGGAUAACAGGCUCAAACAGGAAGCCCCACCCCCGGAAGUCCCACCCCCACCCCCAGUUAAGGCAAUGCAUUUACUGUCAGGAAACUUCUCCUUUGGAAUAUUUCUAGCAGCCUUUAAAAUGAUGUUUAUCUCAAUGUCUUUCAGUUUUCUCUCUCAAGAUAGAGAAGUUGAUGGUUUUGUUGGUUAAUUCGUUUGCCGGGUUCCCGGUGGAAACAGGCCUCGCUUUAAAGGUUGUGAAUGGGAAGUGUCCUCGGGUUCAGCGGUUAAGAAAGUGUGACUCCCUUCACAGAGGGAGACAGGAGUGUUCGGGGACUUUUGUAUGUUUACCACAAAUACAGGCUGCGAGAGCUCUUCCGGCACUGUGUGACACAGGGUGUGUGACAACCGGAUGAUACCGUCCCAGCGUUCUGCUGCGAUCUACCAGAUGCGCCAUGGUUCAUUGUGUCGUCACUGUUCCUGUGGCUGUGACCAAGGGCACUGCCUUGAUUUGAAGCACAUGGUUGAGAGCCUUUGAAAGCCAUCUCCACCAAUACGCACAGCCUGCUUACAUGUGCAAGGUUAGAAAAGUGACACAUUUAAACUGAGAGCAGCGACUCCUCAGGCACCAUUCAGUACUGUGUGUACAAACCAUUGCUUUUGGAAAAGAAGCCAGAGAGUACUUUAACAGGCCAGCCAUCUCUGGUCCUCAUCAGGGCCUGCUCUCUAGAAGUCGGAUCAGAAACAGACUUGAAAAUGUGCCGAAGAAUUUCAUCUUAGGGUCCGACGAAAAAUGUAUAUAGUUUCUGAGUCCUGAGACUCAUGUGUGUGCACAAGAAAACCUGGUUUUCCCUUAGAUUUUACAAUAAAGGAAGUAACAAGAAAAA
rnacentral:lncRNA from 1 species